AAGUGUUCAAGCGAGCCUGUACUGCAGUGGAGCUCUGAUUCAAAAUAACCUCAGUUUCGCACAUAUCUGAGUCGUUAAUGACCUCGAGGCUAAAAGCAAAGCUGGCUAGUGUUCCCUGAGGCUGAUUUUUACCUGAAGUCCUUGACUUUGUACAAAACCCAAAAUGCCUUGAUACUUGUCUUCAGUAAUUAGACUUUAAAUUUAACUUUCUCUCCCUGCUUCCCACCCCUUUUAAAGGAGGAGUUGUUAAGGGACAACUUUUUUGAGAUUUUGCCGUGCCUGAGGCAGAAUAUUUAUUGUGUGACUAGUCAUGGUGAGAUACACCAGCAGUCUAUGCUUUUGGGAGGUGGAGCAGUGAAGGUCACAAGUCUCAGACCAAAUCUGGCUGUAUAGUGAGACCCUGUCUGCUCCCAAAAAACACCCUCCAACCCCUAGUGUUAAGAGUCAUUAAACUGAAGUUAACUGUACAUUUAUUGUGUCUGAAUAAUGUUCUUUGCACAUCAGGUCUGUACUUGUGGCAAAAAGAGAAGUUUUCUUGGUCCUUAUAAAAAAAGUGAGUGUUUCUUUUCCUCAGUACCAUGUUACCCGAAAUACCUGUGCGUCAAAAUGGUACCCUUGGGUUUGUGGCCUUGGAUCACCAGUGGCUGAGCCAUUGAGCUUGGGAGGCCCCUGCCUUAGCAUCCUGAGUAGCAGAGAUCAUGAGAGUGAGCCAUGGCCAGGCCUUAGCUGCUCUAAAUCAGAUCAUAAACUUUUGUCUUUUACCAGAA